UAACAAAUUGUGACGAAUAGGUGCU
rnacentral:piRNA from 1 species